rnacentral:rRNA from 1 species
AAUCAACGCUGGCGGCGUGCCUCAGACAUGCAAGUCGAACGAUUAAAGCUCUCUUCGGAGAGUGCAUAAAGUGGCGCACGGGUGAGUAACACGUAAGUAAUCUACCUUCGAGUGGGGAAUAACGUCCGGAAACGGACGCUAAUACCGCAUAAUGCAGCGGCAUCGCAAGAUGACAGUUGUUAAAGAUUUAUCGCUUGAAGAGGAGCUUGCGGCAGAUUAGCUAGUUGGUAAGGUAAUGGCUUACCAAGGCUACGAUCUGUAACCGGUCUAAGAGGACGGUCGGUCACACUGACACUGAAUAACGGGUCAGACUCCUACGGGAGGCAGCAGUCGGGAAUUUUGGGCAAUGGGCGAAAGCCUGACCCAGCAACGCCGCGCGAAGGAUGAAGUAUUCGGUAUGUAAACUUCGAAAGAAUGGGAAGAAUAAAUGACGGUACCAUUUAUAAGGUCCGGCUAACUACGUGCCAGCAGCCGCCGUAAU